rnacentral:rRNA from 1 species
GGGUAAAAGCACUGUUUCGGUGCGGGCUGGGAGACCGGUACCAARKCGAGACAAACUCUGAAUACCCAGAGCACACAUUGCCAGUGAGACAGUGGGGGAUAAGCUUCAUUGUCAAGAGGGAAACAGCCCAGACCACCAGCUAAGGUCCCCAAAUCAUCGCUAAGUGAUAAAGGAGGUGAGAGUGCACAGACAACUAGGAGGUUUGCCUAGAAGCAGCCACCCUUGAAAGAGUGCGUAAUAGCUCACUAGUCAAGCGCUCUCGCGCCGAAAAUGAACGGGGCUAAGCGAUGUACCGAAGCUGUGGGAUUAAUAAUUAACGAUUAAUCGGUAGGGGAGCGUUCCGUCGUAGGUAGAAGCAGUAGCGGCAAGCAGCUGUGGACGAAACGGAAGUGAGAAUGUCGGCUUGAGUAGCGCAAAUAUUGGUGAGAAUCCAAUACCCCGAAACCCUAAGGUUUCCUCCGCCAGGUUCGUCCCCGGAGGGUUAGUCAGGACCUAAGGCGAGGCCGAACGGCGUAGUCGAUGGACAACGGGUUAAAAUUCCCGUACUGAUUGUAGGUUGUGCAGAGGGACGGAGAAGAUGAAUGUCAGCCGGAUGUUGGUUACCGGUUCAAGCNGUCGAGAUGUUGAGAGACGGCGAAAACGUUUCGAGUUGAGGCGUGAGUACGACCCACUACGGUGGGGAAGUGGCAUAGNUCUAGCUUCCAAGAAAAGCUCUAAACACGUUAACUUACAGUUACCUGUACCCGAAACCGACACAGGUAGGGAGGUWGAGAAUACCAAGGGGCGCGAGAUAACUCUCUCUAAGGAACUCGGCAAAAUGRCCCCGUAACUUSGGGGAGAANGGG